rnacentral:sRNA from 1 species
GGGAGGAGGAAGGGAAGCAAGGAAAAUCAAGAUGGAGACAACAGAACAGGGUGAUCCAGAUCCAGGUGGACUGGGUCGUUUUCGUCUAGCAAUUAACCAUCACGCGGGUUAAAGCGCUUGCUACUGAAGCAUGAAGAUCUGAAUUUGGAUCUCAAAAGCUCAUGCGAAGCAGAAUGUUGAGGAAGUGUGGCCAGGGUGUGGAGGCCAGGCGUAUGUCCAGGAUAUCCCUGUAUGGAGGUCUAUGAAGCUGUGAAGGUGAAGCCUGGAUUGGGUUGAAAACUCCAAAAUGUUGGAGAUGUCAGGGUUGUGGGAUACCUGCCAAGGAGAGCUGCAGACCAAGUGUGGAACCAACACAGAGAAGUGUGAUGCAGUCAACAAAGCUGAGAGGAGUUGGAGAUCAGAAGACGGCUUUGACGGCAGACAUAGAUGCCGAAUUUGGAGAUGGCCCAGCUGUUCUUCAGUCUUCCUUUGGUCCAGCGUUUCCUCACUGUUCUCCCUUCCCUCCCUUUUGGAAUAGUAAUGUCUGUUCUUUGCCAUUGUAUAUUAGAAGUGUAUAUUCUGCUUUUUUAUUUUGAUUUUACAGGGGGUUACAGCUCGGAGAUUGCCCUGCGUCGUGGAAGAUUUUGAACUUUGGACUUUUACAUGGUGUUGAGACUGAUGAACUGCUGGGACUUUUGAAGUUGGACUAAAUGCAAUUUUUUUGCAUUUUGAUAUGACUCUACGUCUGUGGGGGCCAGAGGGUGGAAUGUGGGGGAUUAAAUAAGAACAAACCCCAAAAGAUCAUGUAUUUGAAUGCAUAGUCACUUGGGAGUGGAAGUGUUUGAUAGGAUUACAAGGUUUAUGAGGUAUGGGAGAAGGUAUAGAACAUGCUUGUUGGAAGAAGCCCAUGCCAAAUCCAGUGCCCUCCCCCCUCCUUGUGGCUCAAGAUGUUGCUAUCAACCACUUUUCUAGCACCAUGCCUGCCUUCGUACCACCAUGCCCCAAACAUACUCCUGCUGCUCCCCUCCACCCCCACAUCUCGCUGAUGAUAAUGGACUAAACCUCUGAAACUGUAUACAAGCCCCCAAUGAAUGAUUUCUCUUCUAA